rnacentral:lncRNA from 10 species
UAAUCCCAGCAUUUUGGUAGGCCGGGGCGGGCAGAUCACGAGGUCAAGAGUUCAAGACUAACCUGGCCAACAUGAUGAAACCCCUUCCUACUAACAAUACAAAAAUUAGCUGGGUGUGGUGGUGCAUGCCUGUAAUUCCAGCCACUCGGGAGGCUGAGACAGGAGAAUUGCUUGAACCCGGGAGGUGGUGGUUGCAGUGAGCUGAGAUCACACCACUGCACUCCAGCCUGGGCGACAGAGGGAGACGUCUGGGGAAAAAAACAAGAAACAAAAAACAAAAACAAAAACAGAAACAAAAAAACAGGAUCUGAUUCAAGAAGUUGCCUUUGAGGUCAAACCAGCUGAGACUCGUUACAACCAAGAGAGCCGGCCAAAUGACUUCAGAAAGACCUCACGCUUCAUUGUAAUCCCGUUUCCAAGCUAAAUUGCACUCCCAUCCGUGCCUUGACAGUUGACAAUCUCCAUGACAGUGAGUAGAAGUCCUAAAAGGACCGAAAGGAAAGCAGUAUUACCGGUUUGGAGAAGUUCAAUGCCUGUUCCCAUAAAACAUAUGAAUAUUCCUCCCCUUCACUUUUAAUGCCCAAUUCCUCCAUUAGAGCAAUACUACAUUUUAGCCCCCUCACUCCUCACUAGCCGCCUCACUAGCGGAGAAGUUGAUUGGGGAGAGUUGUUCUCUCUUUAGAAGUCCUGUGCAGGAAAUAAAGCUUGCUCUGCUUGAGGCUCACUUUCGGUUUCGUGAAUUGGCUCUGCGACUCCCAAUGAGGAAAGAUCCCACCUUCUGCAGCUACCAAAAUUUUUGGUAACAAGAAGAGUGAUUAUUUUUCAUUUUCGUCCCAGGAGCCUUCCAGGAACGCUGGCAUCACCAGGAGCUGCAAGUCCCGCUCCCCGCAGCCUUCACAGCCGCCGGUCCCGCCCGAGCUCGCCCAGGCCUCGUGGCUCCCGCCCCGGAGAAGCGCUGCGGAGCAGGGCAAAAACUCUGGAACACAAAGCCAAGCCAGACCCGACACAAAAGCCCCGGGGCUGAACCACGGACACCGGUGGCCAAGCCGGAAGCGCGCACCAACCCCAGCCCACACACUACAGGCCACUUAUUUUAUUUUAUUCUUUUUAAAAUGUUGGUUUCUGGUCUGUGCAGUUUACCUCGGUGUGACUCAGGAAGGACACUGGAAGUCCACUGAUCUGGCCAGGACAGAACCACAUGUGUGUUUAGGAAAAGUGGCCUUAUUUUUCCAACCCUAGGGGCUCACGGGAUGCCCUUAGAACAGACUGACUACAGCAAUUCCCAGUUAAGGCAGAAGGUUGACAUGACAUCAGUGUUUUAGGAUUAAGUUCUCACGAAGGGCAGAAAAGUGGGAAGCCCGUGCUUUUCCAUGUUAAUCAGUUGGCUCCAUAAACAUCAUUUCAUUUAUGUUUUUGUGUUUUUUAUUAAUAAUUCCUUUGAGCUUCACUGGGAGAGAUGAGUAUGACUGCGGAGCUCGGUUUUGUAAAGCAUGGGGUGGCUAAGAAAGGGAAGUAACUGGCCCCAGAAUCUCACAGUCACCCAGUGACCUUCAGCCCAAGAAUCUGAUGGCCACUCCUUCACUCCAAGGGAAAGGAGGCCAUCCAGAGAGAAGAGAAUUACAAGAAUAAGAGUGCAGAGAGUGUCCCAAACACAGUCCUGAGAUUCAUAGAGAAGCACAGGAGGAAGCAAGUGUCCAAGUAUCCAGAGUCCUGUGAGGUACGGAUUUCAGUCCUCAAGGAUACCCUCUCCCAUCUGCCAAGUCUUCUGUGGACGAGCCUGGCUGUGGUUCCCUUCCCAUUCCCUUAGGGCAGUGUGCUGUAGGUUUCCACGUGAGGACCAGUACUCCUUGCCUCUCCUCUCCCUCUCCAGUUUGC